rnacentral:rRNA from 1 species
CAACGGGUGAGUAACACGUGGGCAAACCUGCCCAAAAGAGGGGGGAUAACACUUGGAAACAGGUGCUAAUACCGCAUAACCAUAGUUACCGCAUGGUAACUAUGUAAAAGGUGGCUAUGCUACCGCUUUUGGAUGGGCCCGCGGCGCAUUAGCUAGUUGGUGGGGUAAAGGCUUACCAAGGCAAUGAUGCGUAGCCGAACUGAGAGGUUGAUCGGCCACAUUGGGACUGAGACACGGCCCAAACUCCUACGGAAGGCAGCAG